rnacentral:lncRNA from 1 species
AUUCUUUAUAUUAUUUGAGUCUCUUUUCUGGGAAAGAGCUCUUAUAAUUCUUUGAGAGCUGUUUUAGAAAUGGAGGAGAGGGAAAGUCUGUAGGAUAUUCCAGCCACCAAAGUCCACAUUGAGGUUGUUCUGCUCAACCUUCAUAAUGAUUAAUGAGCCAUGGCAUCUUUCUAAUCCAUGCUCAAAGUCACAGAUUCAUUUUUAUCUCUUUUUUUAAAUCCCCUAUGGUUUCUUUUAAUACUGAGUAUGGGUUUAGCAUAAACAAGUACUUGGUAGUUUUGUUUACAUUUACGGGCAUGUGAACUCAUCCUCACUAGGCAUAACCUUCUGAUGAAACAUUAUUCAUAGUAAUUUGUGAAUUUCACAAAACACGGACCUUGAUCAGUGCAGACAAUUCAGUUUAGUCAGGGAUGGUCCAGACAACUCCAUUUUCUCAUCCACUGCUUAUACAUGAAAUCUUAUUUCUGUUUGCUACAUUCUAACAAAUAGAAUUUAGUAAGUUUAUAUUUGUCAUUUAUUGGCUUUUAAGAUCUAGCAUGAGAGUUUGACAGAGUCAUAGGGCUUUGGCAAAUCUCUCUUUCUUCAGAGCCAGAGACAUUUGCAUUUCUUACCAGGCUUCUCUGGCUGUGAACAGUCUGUCCAAGGAGUGACCCCAGUUCAGUUGAAAGCAUCAGGCAUCUCAAAAGCUAUAAAGCCAGAGUACCUGCUGACUUUUUAAGUUCUAACAGAUAGUCUAUAAAUGAUAACAAAACUGCAGUUGCACACUCCAAACAUUUUUAAAAAGAAAUAGCAUUAUAAGCCUAUGAGGACUUAUGCAGGAAAGAUGUGCUAAUACGGGGGGUGGUGAAUUCAGUUGUACAGUGACAUCAAAGCUGCAAACUAUACAAAAUAAGCAGCAUGUGUUCACCUUAGAUAGUGGGGAUAUUUUAUUCUGGAUAAAUGUGCUCUGCUUUUAAGAAUCUAGGGCAAUGUUGUCUGGUAGACAUGUACUGCUGCAGAACUGUCUUAGUCCUGCCAUUAAUUGGCAUCUACCCAGGCAAUUAGAACUAUGGAAAUUAACAGCAAAUUAACAAGGUAUAUAUGAAACCUUUAGGUUGUCUGAAAUUCUAAGGUUAAAUUGAGAUAAUAUUAAAUGAUCUUAUUUGCGGGAUUAUUCCCAUCUCUAUGUUUUUACGAAUGAUGAUAAACUAUGCACCUUCAAGGAAGAAAACACUGGAAGGCACUUUUGAAACAUCAGAAUGAUGAAUAUGAACUGAAGUUAAACAAGACUGAAGCAUCAUAUGUCUAUGAAAAACUAUUAGUAAUGGACAAUUUAAUACCAUUGUAUAUGAGAAGUAAAGAAGCCUGGAUGAAGUGUUAGUGUCUUAAUGUCAUCUUCAUAGUAUUCUCCCUGUUAAUGAUUUGAGUACAUAAUUCUUUGAACAUUGCCUAUACGACGUACUGUCUGAUCAGUUCUCAUGUUUUAAUCGCAUAACUGAGAGCACUACGGUACAAGGAAAAUUAAAUGUUUCACCUCGGUACCACUGACAACCAUACCACUUUUCUUUAGCUAAGUUGAAAGAGCUCUAGUCUCUGGUUUGUUCUUUGCAUCAAAUGACUAAGGAAUAUACCAAGUAUGACUUCAUUCUCUCAAGUCUCCUGUUGAACAUCUGCUUAGAGCAGAGAAGUACCCCAAAGCUAAGCAGCACUGGGGAAGGAGCCUCUAGCAUAAAUAUUCCAGGAACUCAUCAAUCUUUGAAUAUUUUAAUGGACUCUGUGAUUUAUGCACUAAAAGUUGAAAUAAAACAUUUUUCAAAGUUUCUUUGGAAGAUGUUUGCAAUAUUUAUAAUAGUCAAGGUCAGUGUUUUCUAAAAUGUUCUAUGGGGGAUUGGCAUUCAAGAAGCCCAAUACAGGACAGUAAAUGGACUCUAAUAAUCUGUGGGGAGCUCUCAUUAUCAUGUUAAUGCUUAUUACUAUGUAGAAUUUGAUCAAAUGUACAAUACACAAAUACAACAUUCAACCUAAAAUUUUUUGAAUUUUGAUAAAACACAGCAUCUCACCUCUACCACCACCCUUUGUUUAAAUUUUGGUGUAAAUAUUCCUUUAGAAUAGAUACAAAAAAAAGUGUCUAAAAAGAUUUUCAAUUCAUACAAAACCCACUGUUGUAUAGUGCUGGCUGCUGUCACAGGUUCCUUCUAGAUUCUGAGGUAUAAUAUGCUAUACUUUAGUCUCACUGAUGCAGUAUCUAGUGGUGGGGAAGGAAUGAUGCCAAUGCAGUAAUUGAUAGUUGAAGGUUAAUUUGCAGUAUGUAUUUUUCAAGAUAUUUUGGAUAUUGGCAUCCAGUCACUAAAAGG